UCUCACAUGUGCAUUAUAAAAGGGGCCUAUGGAUAUGAUGGGGAUUAAACCUAGUCAAUUUCUAAAACACAUAAGAUAAGAUUUUUUGGACGUAAGUAAAAAAUACAAUCUAUAAAGUAUAUUCAUCUGGCUGGUCCUAGACGUAACGAUCACGGGUUGAUGUCGUUUAUACAAUCUAUAAAGUAUAUUCAUUCUCUUUCUUGUUUUUUUUUAGGUCUAAUGUUUUUUUUUUUCGUUUUCACUUCAUCCUUACCCCA